GGACUACAAGGGUUUCUAAUCCUGUUUGAUCCCCUUGCUUUCGCGCCUCAGCGUCAGGGAUAAGCUAGAAAACCGCCUUCGCCACCGGUGUUCUUCCACAUAUCUACGCAUUUCACCGCUACUUGUGGAAUUCCGUUUUCUCCGCCUACCCUCUAGAGUGUCAGUUUCAUAUGCUGUUCCGAGGUUGAGCCCCGGGAUUUCACAUCUGACUUUUCACCCAGCCUACGCGCCCUUUACGCCCAAUAAAUCCGAUUAAUGCUUGCACCCUCCGUAUUACCGCGGCUGCUGGCAC
rnacentral:rRNA from 1 species